CCCUGACAUCAAAACAUGGCUUGUUUUGUUCCUGGACUCUUCAGUGAUGAUGAGCAGAGUCUGAGUGAACCUGCUGUCAGACAAUCACUAUUGCACACCAAAUGCUCUUACUCAGCAGAUGGGGACAGCUACCAUCACCCAAUUUUCACCCAAAAGUGGCUGCGCUAUUCGCCAGACUGGGCAGGAGGGACUGGACGACAACUUAUGCAGGCAUCAGAUGACAAUGAAAUGUAAAUAAAGAGUAGAGAAGCUAAUAAACAUGAAUUUGAUUUUAAA